rnacentral:rRNA from 1 species
GGUUAAGCGACUAAGCGUACACGGUGGAUGCCCUGGCAGUCAGAGGCGAUGAAGGACGUGCUAAUCUGCGAAAAGCGUCGGUAAGGUGAUAUGAACCGUUAUAACCGGCGAUGUCCGAAUGGGGAAACCCAGUGCAAUUCGUUGCACUAUCGUUAACUGAAUACAUAGGUUAACGAGGCGAACCGGGGGAACUGAAACAUCUAAGUACCCCGAGGAAAAGAAAUCAACCGAGAUUCCCCCAGUAGCGGCGAGCGAACGGGGAGCAGCCCAGAGUCUGAAUCAGCUUGUGUGUUAGUGGAACGGUCUGGAAAGUCCGACGGUACAGGGUGAUAGUCCCGUACACCAAAAUGCACAGGCUGUGAACUCGAAGAGUAGGGCGGGACACGUGGUAUCCUGUCUGAAUAUGGGGGGACCAUCCUCCAAGGCUAAAUACUCCUGACUGACCGAUAGUGAACCAGUACCGUGAGGGAAAGGCGAAAAGAACCCCGGCGAGGGGAGUGAAAAAGAACCUGAAACCGUGUACGUACAAGCAGUGGGAGCACCUUCGGGUGUGACUGCGUACCUUUUGUAUAAUGGGUCAGCGACUUAUAUUCUGUAGCAAGGUUAACCGUAUAGGGGAGCCGCAGGGAAACCGAGUCUUAACUGGGCGUUAAGUUGCAGGGUAUAGACCCGAAACCCGGUGAUCUAGCCAUGGGCAGGUUGAAGGUUGGGUAACACUAACUGGAGGACCGAACCGACUAAUGUUGAAAAAUUAGCGGAUGACUUGUGGCUGGGGGUGAAAGGCCAAUCAAACCGGGAGAUAGCUGGUUCUCCCCGAAAGCUAUUUAGGUAGCGCCUCGUGAAUUCAUCUUCGGGGGUAGAGCACUGUUUCGGCUAGGGGGUCAUCCCGACUUACCAACCCGAUGCAAACUACGAAUACCGAAGAAUGUUAUCACGGGAGACACACGGCGGGUGCUAACGUCCGUCGUGAAGAGGGAAACAACCCAGACCGCCAGCUAAGGUCCCAAAGUCAUGGUUAAGUGGGAAACGAUGUGGGAAGGCACAGACAGCCAGGAUGUUGGCUUAGAAGCAGCCAUCAUUUAAAGAAAGCGUAAUAGCUCACUGGUCGAGUCGGCCUGCGCGGAAGAUGUAACGGGGCUAAACCAUGCACCGAAGCUGCGGCAGCGACACUAUGUGUUGUUGGGUAGGGGAGCGUUCUGUAAGCCUGCGAAGGUGUGCUGUGAGGCAUGCUGGAGGUAUCAGAAGUGCGAAUGCUGACAUAAGUAACGAUAAAGCGGGUGAAAAGCCCGCUCGCCGGAAGACCAAGGGUUCCUGUCCAACGUUAAUCGGGGCAGGGUGAGUCGACCCCUAAGGCGAGGCCGAAAGGCGUAGUCGAUGGGAAACAGGUUAAUAUUCCUGUACUUGGUGUUACUGCGAAGGGGGGACGGAGAAGGCUAUGUUAGCCGGGCGACGGUUGUCCCGGUUUAAGCAUGUAGGCUGAUUGUCCAGGCAAAUCCGGAUAAUCAAGGCUGAGGUGUGAUGACGAGGCACUACGGUGCUGAAGUAACAAAUGCCCUGCUUCCAGGAAAAGCCUCUAAGCAUCAGGUAACAUUAAAUCGUACCCCAAACCGACACAGGUGGUCAGGUAGAGAAUACCAAGGCGCUUGAGAGAACUCGGGUGAAGGAACUAGGCAAAAUGGUGCCGUAACUUCGGGAGAAGGCACGCUGGUGUGUAGGUGAAGUCCCUGCGGAUGGAGCUGAGACCAGUCGAAGAUACCAGCUGGCUGCAACUGUUUAUUAAAAACACAGCACUGUGCAAACACGAAAGUGGACGUAUACGGUGUGACGCCUGCCCGGUGCCGGAAGGUUAAUUGAUGGGGUUAUCCGUAAGGAGAAGCUCUUGAUCGAAGCCCCGGUAAACGGCGGCCGUAACUAUAACGGUCCUAAGGUAGCGAAAUUCCUUGUCGGGUAAGUUCCGACCUGCACGAAUGGCGUAAUGAUGGCCAGGCUGUCUCCACCCGAGACUCAGUGAAAUUGAACUCGCUGUGAAGAUGCAGUGUACCCGCGGCAAGACGGAAAGACCCCGUGAACCUUUACUAUAGCUUGACACUGAACAUUGAGCCUUGAUGUGUAGGAUAGGUGGGAGGCUUUGAAGCGUGGACGCCAGUCUGCGUGGAGCCAACCUUGAAAUACCACCCUUUAAUGUUUGAUGUUCUAACGUUGGCCCCUUACCGGGGUUGCGGACAGUGUCUGGUGGGUAGUUUGACUGGGGCGGUCUCCUCCCAAAGCGUAACGGAGGAGCACGAAGGUUAGCUAAUCCUGGUCGGACAUCAGGAGGUUAGUGCAAUGGCAUAAGCUAGCUUGACUGCGAGCGUGACGGCGCGAGCAGGUGCGAAAGCAGGUCAUAGUGAUCCGGUGGUUCUGAAUGGAAGGGCCAUCGCUCAACGGAUAAAAGGUACUCCGGGGAUAACAGGCUGAUACCGCCCAAGAGUUCAUAUCGACGGCGGUGUUUGGCACCUCGAUGUCGGCUCAUCACAUCCUGGGGCUGAAGUAGGUCCCAAGGGUAUGGCUGUUCGCCAUUUAAAGUGGUACGCGAGCUGGGUUUAGAACGUCGUGAGACAGUUCGGUCCCUAUCUGCCGUGGGCGCUGGAGAAUUGAGGGGGGCUGCUCCUAGUACGAGAGGACCGGAGUGGACGCAUCACUGGUGUUCGGGUUGUCAUGCCAAUGGCACUGCCCGGUAGCUAAAUGCGGAAGAGAUAAGUGCUGAAAGCAUCUAAGCACGAAACUUGUCCCGAGAUGAGUUCUCCCUGAGACUUUAAGUCUCCUGAAGGAACGUUAAAGACGAUGACGUUGAUAGGCCGGGUGUGUAAGCGCAGCGAUGCGUUGAGCUAACCGGUACUAAUGAACCGUGAGGCUUAACCUU